UACGAAGGGGGCUAGCGUUGCUCGGAAUUACUGGGCGUAAAGCGCACGUAGGCGGCUCUUUAAGUCGGGGGUGAAAUCCUGGAGCUCAACUCCAGAACUGCCUUCGAUACUGUAGAGCUUGAGUUCGGGAGAGGUGAGUGGAACUGCGAGUGUAGAGGUGAAAUUCGUAGAUAUUCGCAAGAACACCAGUGGCGAAGGCGGCUCACUGGCCCGAUACUGACGCUGAGGCACGAAAGCAUGGGGAGCAAACAGG
rnacentral:rRNA from 1 species